AUAAGAUCGGUUUCUGCUGGGCCAUAUGCACAAAGAAUUUGUACACGUAAUGCGCUCGGCUUCCAGCAUUUUCCGACACUGACAGUGGAUCGUCACGCCAGCUCUUGGCCACAGCUGUGAUGUCGAAAAAGACCACCAUGCGGGCAGUUACACUGGUUGUGAUGGUGCUCAUCCGGGAAGGAUGCUCCGAUGAAGAAAAUUGCGUGGAAUCUACGUGUGAUCUUGGCUGCAAUCGCGAUGGAGCGUUAUCCGGCACUUGUAUCACUGGAACAUGUCGAUGCCGGUUUUUUACUGAGUGGCAAAAGGAAAUACCAGCAGCUCCCGGCAUGGAUUAAUCAAUCUCCGCAGAAAAUAGUUCUGCUUUGUUCCUCUGUGCAGUCAGAAUGAUAUAAAGCCGUUGUUCAUGAGAUGUAUAGCGCAACAUUGUAUGAAUACAUAAGUCUGCAGAUCGAGCGCACAUGUUGGAAUCAAUGUAAAGGGAAGCUUCUUGAUCGUGUAAUUAUAUACUUUACAACUGAUGGCUAUGUUACAACUUCGCUUAUUGUCAUCCUAUGUAACGGGUGUUCUUUUGUAAUGAUUAUGUUUAUCCGCUAGAAACGCCACAAUUAUAUUCUGAUGCAGUUUUUAAUGCGGUUACCUUUCUUAGACUGCUUCACGCACUUUCCUGGGGGUAACUGUGUCUAUUUAGCUACUGCCUACUAAUCUAUGUCUCGAAUGUUUUCUCACCAACUGGGCCACUGAAUAGAUCAUGGUGGAAUGGGCAGCGCAUCUGACUGGUGUGGUGUGAAAACCGGGUUUAGAACCAAUCAUCGUACUAACUUGGGUCACUGGGUAUGUGACACUCUGUAUCUGAUAUGCCGCUCUUCAAGCAACGUCUUUGACACUGACGGGCUUCUGGAGAGGCGGUAGUGCACAAUUGGCAUGUAAAUUGCGCGGAGGUUUCUCGGAAUCUUAGGUAGUUUCCCAGCAUUGGUCAUGAUGAUGACGUGUGUUUCCUCCCAUACUACAAAAAGCUCGCCUGUUUGCCAUAUCUUGUUAAUAUUAUAUUGUUAAUAACGUUAACCUUACCUUGUAUGGUUGAACCACUGCUGCUUAGCUGCCUAGUCCAUAGACCAUAGAGGGACACGUGUUUGCCUGAGGCGUUGUUACGCGUCACUGUUCAAAUUAUCUGAGAGGGUUCAGCAUUAGCAUUGCUUCACGUGGCACAUCGCAUCAUGGCGGCAGCGUUCUGAACCUCAUUUUGGUGCGUAGAGAACACGAUUCUUUUCCGCGCGGCACUUCAUUCGGGCCUAGAGGUCCUCGACACUGAGUGGACGUGUUGGAGCAAUUUUGCUCGCGCCUGCUUACGUGCUCCUUGUGCAUACAUAGUGAGCAUGCUGUUCAGACGCCAGCUUCGAGUGCUCUCUUCUCGCUAUGGACCAUUGUAUUGUUUACGAUAUCACAACCCAGUACGCGACCUCCGCAGCCGAACACCUGCAUUUUUGUCGCAUAGGAAAGCAAGCACAGCACAUGCCAUAAACAUAAACUAUGAAGCGCUACCGCGGAGGCCCCAACCGGGAUGCGCGGAUGCGAGCGUCAGCUAGUGGUGUUGCAAUAAACCCAGCAGCGCGCGCGAUCAAGAACUAAAGCCCCUUAAACUUUGUAAAGUACUGCCACGCUUUGAAGAAUGCCGCCUCCUGCUCCAGCGCUCUGGCCGAAGCCGACGCCGCGUCGCUAUUGGCCUAAUGGCAUCACGUGGCCCCUUGAGCCGGCUUCGUUUGUUUACAGUCGCGCUUCAGUGCCAUCUUUGCUCGAGAAGCGGCGCUUGUUGGCGGCAUUCCUUCCGUUCCUAUUCUGUGUUGUUUUGAUCUUGCGAACGCCUUGAAGGAUGUUUUGUGGCAAGUGCGACGUCGCUUCACGUAAUUUUCUGUUACCAUGACCUGCUGCGCGUUCGGAUGCCAAUAUAGUUUUAGCAAAGGCAAGAAUAUGUUCACGAUACCGUCCGGUAAGCGCAACGGGUUAAGAAGAAAGACAUGGCUUCACCAAAUCGGGAGGGAGAACUUCCGACCAACUUCCUCCGCGCGACUAUGUGAUUUGAUUUGAAUCCUGCCCCCCAAGGCUCCAAGAACCAGUACUCUUGCCCUGCUGCCUGCAGCCAUUGGUUAUCCAUUCCCUUGUACGAAAU